rnacentral:rRNA from 1 species
UACGUAGGGAGCAAGCGUUGUCCGGAAUCAUUGGGCGGAAAGCGCGCGUAGGCGGCCCGAUAAGUCCGCUGUAAAAGUCAACGGCUCAACUGUUGAAAGCCGGUGGAUACUGUCGGGCUAGAGUACGGAAGAGGCAAGUGGAAUUCCUGGUGUAGCGGUGGAAUGCGCAGAUAUCAGGAGGAACACCCAUAGCGAAGGCAGCUUGCUGGGACGUUACUGACGCUAAGGCGCGAAAGCGUGGGGAGCGAACAGG